rnacentral:rRNA from 1 species
GACGAACGCUGGCGGCGUGCCUAAUACAUGCAAGUCGAACGCAGUGGGGACGGGUGAGUAACACGUGGGUAACCUCCCAUCAGAGGGGAUAACACUUGGAAACAGGUGCUAAACCGAUAUUGGUGGAGGGACCCGCGGUGCAUUAGCUAGUUGGUGAGGUAACGGCUCACCAAGGCCACGAUGCAUAGCGGACCUGAGAGGGUGAGCGGCCACACUGGAACUGAGACACGGCCCAGACUCCUACGGGAGGCAGCAGUAGGGAAUCUUCGGCAAUGGACGAAAGUCUGACCCAGCCACGCCGCGUGAGUGAAGAAGGCUUUCGGAUCGUAAAGCUCUGUUGUCAGGGAAGCGUUAUCUAACCAGAAAGCAACGGCUAACUACGUGCCAGCAGCCGCGGUAAUUC